UACGUAGGGUGCAAGCGUUGUCCGGAAUUAUUGGGCGUAAAGAGCUCGUAGGUGGUUUGUUACGUCUGCUGUGAAAACCUAGGGCUUAACCCUGGGCCUGCAGUGGAUACGGGCAGACUAGAGGUAGGUAGGGGAGAAUGGAAUUCCCGGUGUAGCGGUGAAAUGCGCAGAUAUCGGGAGGAACACCGGUGGCGAAGGCGGUUCUCUGGGCCUUACCUGACACUGAGGAGCGAAAGCGUGGGGAGCGAACAGG
rnacentral:rRNA from 1 species